GGGCGGUUAGUUCAGCGGAAGAACGCUUGCUUCACACGCAAGAGGUCACUGGUUCGAUCCCAGUACCGCCCACCA
rnacentral:tRNA from 1 species